GAUGAACGCUGGCGGCGUGCCUAAUACAUGCAAGUCGAGCGAACGGACGAUAAGCUUGCGUCUCUGCUGUUAGCGGCGGACGGGUGAGUAACACGUGGAUAACCAACUUAUAAUACUGGGAUAACUUCGGGAAACCGGAGCUAAUACCGGAUAAUAUUUUGAACCGCAUGGUUCAAAAGUGAAAGACGGUCUUGCCGUCACUUAUAGAUGGAUCCGCGCUGCAUUAGCUAGUUGGUAAGGUAACGGCUUACCAAGGCAACGAUGCAUAGCCGACCUGAGAGGGUGAUCGGCCACACUGGAACUGAGACACGGUCCAGACUCCUACGGGAGGCAGCAGUGGGGAAUCUUCGGCAAUGGGCGAAAGCCUGACGGAGCAACGCCGCGUGAGUGAUGAAGGUCUUCGGAUCGUAAAACUCUGUUAUUAGGGAAGAACAUAUGUGUAAGUAACUGUGCACAUCUUGACGGUACCUAAUCAGAAAGCAACGGCUAACUACGUG
rnacentral:rRNA from 1 species